AGGGGGGUCUGCAACUCCCCAGUUGACAACAGCGCCAGAAAUCCACUACAGAAGAAAGCUAUCAGCCAAGCCAGUGGCAGAGCAUUACACCCGGCAUGGAGAUGUACUGUUUUGACGAUGGCUGAAAAAGGUGAACGCUGUAGCAGCAAAGUGUGGGACUACUUCUGCAAAGAUUCCUCUAAUGCAGUAU